rnacentral:rRNA from 1 species
AGGACGAACGCUGGCGGCGCGCUUAAUACAUGCAAGUCGAGCGAGAACCAGGGCUUCGGCCCUGGGGACAGCGGCGAACGGGUGAGUAACACGUGGGUAAUCAACCCCCGACACCGGGAUAGCCCAGGGAAACUUGGAUUAAUACCGGAUGCUCCAUCUGGCUUUCGAGCCGGCUGGAAAAGGGUAGCUUCGGCCUCCGGUCGGGGACGAGCCCGCGGCGGAUUAGCUUGUUGGUGAGGUAAAGGCUCACCAAGGCGACGAUCCGUAGCUGGUCUGAGAGGACGAUCAGCCACACUGGGACUGAGACACGGCCCAGACUCCUACGGGAGGCAGCAGUAGGGAAUCUUGCGCAAUGGGCGAAAGCCUGACGCAGCGACGCCGCGUGAGGGAAGAAGGCCUUCGGGUUGUAAACCUCUUUCAGCAGGGACGAAGCGAAAGUGACGGUACCUGCAGAAGAAGCGCCGCUAACUACGUGCCAGCAGCCGCGGUAA